rnacentral:piRNA from 1 species
CAUCCACUCUGAAUCACUGAAUCAGUGUCU